rfam:Rummeliibacillus stabekisii strain PP9, complete genome.
AAGUAAAUUAAAUAAAGUCGUCGUAUAAUGUCGGGAAUAUGGCCCGAAAGUUUCUACCGAGUUACCGUAAAUGACUUGACUACGCAUAUAUAUAAAAGGGGA